rnacentral:rRNA from 1 species
GAUGAACGCUGACAGAAUGCUUAACACAUGCAAGUCGAUGGGGAAGUGGUGCUUGCACCAUGGCAACCCUGGCGGACGGGUGAGUAACGCGUAAGGGACUUACCUGCAGGACUGGGAUAACAGGGGGAAACUCCUGACAAGACCGGAUAAUGUCAUGGAGCUGCAUGGCUUUAUGAUGAAAGGAGACGCCUGCGGAGAGCCUUGCGUCCUAUUAGCUAGCUGGUGAGGUAAUGGCUCACCAAGGCGAAGAUAGGUAGCCGGCCUGAGAGGGUGGACGGCCACAAGGGGACUGAGAUACGGCCCUUACUCCUACGGGAGGCAGCAGUGGGGAAUAUUGGACAAUGGGGGCAACCCUGAUCCAGCAAUUCUGUGUGCACGAAGAAGGUUUUCGGAUUGUAAAGUGCUUUCAGCAGGGAAGAAGUAAGUGACGGUACCUGCAGAAGAAGCGACGGCUAAAUACGUG